GUGCUACCCGUGGAAAGGGUCCAGAACAAGCUGUGCGAUGAUAACAAUACACUUGCUGUCUCUAGAGGGGGGGGAGCUCUACUGGGUUGUGCUUAAUGGAUUCUUCAUAACCUUCUUUGCCUUGAGUGGUUCGGAGUGGGUCCCAAGAUGGAAGACAAUGAUACCGGACCAUGUCCCUAGCAACACUUGUCCAGUCCAGCUUGUUGGGGAUGCUGCGAGCAGUGGGGUCGUUCUUAUGAGGUGCUCCCGCAAGGUUUUCGCCAUCGACGUUGAGGACGGCGGUCUGGUGAAGUUCAAGGACUGUCUGGAUAAAAGCGACACUUUUUUCUCAUUCGAGGUGAUUCGUCACGUCAUUGCCGACCACGUGCGUCGGAUGUAAAACUCUGCUUUUGGGCUGAACUUGAGUUACUGUGUUGUCACCUCUGAACCAACACAAAUUUGUAGGAGUUCUAUGUUGCUGAUACGCAUGUAACUCGGCUCUUGCUGAAAUUCAGCUACUGUGGUUCCAACCAAUUGUGUACAGUAUAUUGCAGUAUGUAGUGUACUAUAUCCAUUUGCUUGCAAUCUAGUGCCUGAAUCGUAAUAACUGUAGUGUUGGAGCAGGUUUCUGGCCCCCCUUGGUGAUUCUCUUUCUGAGUUAAAUCAUCUGAAGACUCUAGUGACUGAUGGUUUGGUUCUGUCUGUGAAUGAAUGAGCUUCAGGACUGGGGCUGCAGUUGCACUCCUCUGAAUGCCAAAACGGCACCUAUCUGUACCUGGUGACGGCCUGAAUGAGGUGGCGAGCGGCUGCGGUUGCUCUUCCUUGCCGUACGCGAGCGCCUACUGCUCUGUUGCCGGCGUACUCCUCUCUCUGUGUCCGGGGGCCGUCGGUGUCUGGCUGGCGGGCCCGUAGCCACCCCAUCGAGCACCUGCUGCAGAGCGUGUGGGCGUGUGUGCGGCUGCUCGUGUUCCCGGACAGGCAUGCCUCGUUCGUGCCAUCCGUGCUCAUGCCGAACUCGAUAGGAUGGCGCACACAAGGUGCUCGAUAGAAUGGCGCACACAAGGUGCUCGACAGAAUGCACGUCAAAACUUGCUCCGACCUACUAUGUUAAUUUCAUCAUUAUGUGAAACUCCUAUAUUCUGUUUGAAUAUGAUUCAACUGCUAUAUCGAGCUGACAAUGCGGCGUUAUGCCAGUACAUACCUCCAAACUCGUUUUGGACCCUACUUAAAAAUAAAAUUGAAGGCUGUCGAGCUUACGUGCAAACUCAACUUACGGCGACCUUCUCCCUCUCAUUUCUCUCUUUUCUUUGCGUCAACUCAAAUUUUGUAAACUAAACUCCGGCCGAACUAGAUAGUUCAUCUGUAUAUGGGGCUAUUAAUCACUUAUUAGCGAUAUUUCAGACAAGGGGAAAUGUGGACAGGAACUUUGUCUUACAGACUUACACAACUCUAGAUGAUGCAUGACGAGCCCACCUACAACUUGUCGGGGCGGUUGUGGCCUUGGAGUCGCGGGCGAAGGCGUGUGUGAUGGCCUAGCGGGCAUGGAAAUGUGUGAGGGUGUGUGCCUCCCAUGUCAGCCAUGGGUCUUUCUCAGCGUCGAGGGAGAUUUCACGACAAGUGUGUGGUCCCAAAUGAUGCUCUCCCUCCCUCCCUCCCUCCAUUUCCCACGAUGCCACCAUGGUUUUCCGCCCGGCCCACGUUCUCAUCAAAUACCUGAGCUGAGGCCUGACGGGUUCUUGAGCUUCCCUACUAGUGGGGGUGCGCUUGUGGCGUGACGUUGGCGUGUCGACGGACGACAUCCCUUACGACACAAUUUGAACCACACUCCAUAAUUCAUGGUGAUUUUUUAUCAAGUUGAUGUUCAAAUGAUGUCUUGCUUGUCGUUAAUGUGACCCUCUAAAUACAAAAAUACAAAAAAAAAA
rnacentral:lncRNA from 1 species